UCAAAGGUCUUCUUGAAGACCAUCAAUACAUCUUGAACUAAUCGU
rfam:Octopus bimaculoides Scaffold8817_contig_116, whole genome shotgun sequence.